rnacentral:rRNA from 1 species
CAGCCGCCGCGGGAAUACGUAGGGUGCAAGCGUUAAUCGGAAUUAUUGGGCGUAAAGGGCUCGCAGGCGGUUUCUUAAGUCUGAUGUGAAAGCCCCCGGCUCAACCGGGGAGGGUCAUUGGAAACUGGGAAACUUGAGUGCAGAAGAGGAGAGUGGAAUUCCACGUGUAGCGGUGAAAUGCGUAGAGAUGUGGAGGAACACCAGUGGCGAAGGCGACUCUCUGGCUUGUAACUGACGCUGAGGCUCGAAAGCGUGGGGAGCAAACAGGAUUAGAUACCCCCGUAGUCCCUGUCUCUUAUAC